CGUCGUCUGAGCGACGUUAAAUAGCCGUUAGGCUCAGAGCGGUACACCUCCCCUAUUCUCGGGGUUGGG
rnacentral:ribozyme from 2 species